CAUAUACCCCUCGGUCUCAAAUUUUUUGUCUUAGAUUUGUCUAAAUAUGAAUGUAUCUAGUCAUGUUAUAGUAUUUCUAUACAUUCAUUUCUAGACAAACCUAAGACAAAAAAAUUGGAAGGGAGGGAGUACUAU
rnacentral:pre_miRNA from 2 species